rnacentral:lncRNA from 1 species
GGCGGUCUCUACUUAGGGCGCGAUGCCCUUACCGCGAUCAUCUACCGGCUCGCUCGGUCCCGGCUCUGUGGAAAUAGUGGGGUGAGAACUACAACAAAGUUUCCAAUGGGUUCGGCAACCAACCACGCCGACUAUCCCACUAGGUCUAAUCAGGCAUAAUAGAAGAAAGAAUAGAUAAUAACUAACUAACAAAUGCAGCUAAUAUGCCUGAACGAUAAAUGAAACUAUGCUCGAUAGAAUGCUCAUGAUGAAUGCAAGAUUAACUUUUCAUUACCCAAUCUCAUGGCUAGCCCGUAGGUUUCGCCCUCACAAACUCACCAACCCAAAUCCCUAUUAUCGGGGAGAUAACCGCUACGACCCGACGGGACCGCCCUCUGGGGAGAUAACCGCUACGACCCAGUGAUGACAACUUCGGAGCACAUCGCCCGAGGGGGAGCUACCGCCCUCGAGCAAG